rnacentral:snoRNA from 1 species
GUAAAGAUUAAAUUUGUCUUUUUUAGCUUACACAGCCAGACACCAUGCAAAAGUAGUCUUCCCUUUAAAAUGGCUAUGAUGGUAUGCCAAGUUUUCUCAUAGCAUAUCAUUACUAAAAGUGGACACACAU